UACGUAGGUGGCAAGCGUUGUCCGGAAUUAUUGGGCGUAAAGCGCGCGCAGGCGGCCUUUUAAGUCUGAUGUGAAAGCCCACGGCUCAACCGUGGAAGGUCAUUGGAAACUGAAAGGCUUGAGUACAGAAGAGGAAAGCGGAAUUCCACGUGUAGCGGAUGAAUGCGUAGAGAUGUGGAGGACACCAGUGGCGAAGGCGGAUCUCUGGGCCGUAACUGACGCUGAGGAGCGAAAGCAUGGGGAGCGAACAGG
rnacentral:rRNA from 1 species